rnacentral:rRNA from 1 species
CCUACGGGAGGCAGCAGUGGGGAAUAUUGCACAAUGGGCGAAAGCCUGAUGCAGCGACGCCGCGUGAGGGAUGACGGCCUUCGGGUUGUAAACCUCUUUCAGCAGGGAAGAAGCGAAAGUGACGGUACCUGCAGAAGAAGCGCCGGCUAACUACGUGCCAGCAGCCGCGGUAAUACGUAGGGCGCAAGCGUUGUCCGGAAUUAUUGGGCGUAAAGAGCUCGUAGGCGGCUUGUUGCGUCGGUUGUGAAAGCCCGGGGCUUAACCCCGGGUCUGCAGUCGAUACGGGCAGGCUAGAGUGUGGUAGGGGAGAUCGGAAUUCCUGGUGUAGCGGUGAAAUGCGCAGAUAUCAGGAGGAACACCGGUGGCGAAGGCGGAUCUCUGGGCCAUUACUGACGCUGAGGAGCGAAAGCGUGGGGAGCGAACAGGAUUAGAUACCCUGGUAGUCCACGCCGUAAACGGUGGGAACUAGGUGUUGGCGACAUUCCACGUCGUCGGUGCGCNGCACGCAUAGUUACCCGUCCGUCGGGAGGUACGGCCGCGAGGACGUAAACGUUAAAGUAGAAGUUAAGUACGGCGUUGAGACGUUGCCGACGGCGACGACGAGGGAGGAGG